AACGAACGUUGGCGGCGUGGAUUAGGCAUGCAAGUCGCGCGAAUCCCCGCAAGGGGGGAAGCGGCGAAAGGGGCAGUAAGGCGUGGGUAACCUACCCCGGGGACUGGUAUAGCCCUUCGAGAGAAGGGGUAAUCCCGGGCGACGUGUCGAGGGGGCAUCUCCUUGCCACCAAAUGAGUUUCGCCCCGGGAGGGGCCCACGUGAUAUUAGCUAGUUGGUAGGGUAACGGCCUACCAAGGCGAAGAUGUCUAGCGGGUGUGAGAGCACGACCCGCGCCACUGGCACUGAGACACUGGCCAGACACCUACGGGUGGCUGCAGUCGAGGAUCUUCGGCAAUGGGCGCAAGCCUGACCGAGCGACGCCGCGUGGGCGAUGAAGGCCUUCGGGUUGUAAAGCCCUGUCGAGGGGGAGAAAGUGGAAACUUGAUCUAUCCCUGGAGGAAGCACGGGCUAAGUUCGUGCCAGCAGCCGCCGUAACAC
rnacentral:rRNA from 1 species